GAAUCUGUAGUACUGUCACUGCAACCAUACGCUCUAGAAAUAUAUUGCUUUAGAGAAAAAGCAGCAAGGCCAAAUAAAUUGAUACAGAAGAAAUGUUUAGAUAUGUUUUUGCAAGUUUCUGCAUAUCUGAAAUAGAACCAAUACAUCACAUGGAAAGCCAAUGGCUGUGUUUUGAGUUUAUGGAGAGCCAUAUGUGGCAAGGAACUGAGGGUGGCAUCCAGGCAACAGACUUCAAGAAACUGAGGCUGUCAGUCCAACAACCCACAAGAACUGAAUCUGACCAACAAUCACAGGAACAAACUUAGAAGUAUACUCUUUCCCAGACAAACCUUCAGAUGAGACCACAGCCCCAGCCAUAAGCUUGAAAACAAUCUCAUGAGGGACCUUGAGCCACAGGCAUGUAGUAAAGCUAUGCCAGGAAUCCUGCCUGCCCCACAGAAAAUGUAAAAAAAAUAAAUUUUUAUUGUUUUAA
ensembl:lncRNA LINC02327 long intergenic non-protein coding RNA 2327